CCUCCACUGACCAUAUGAGACUCAUUUCUCAUCUUUACAAGUUCUGGACAGCAAGAAGAAGAAAGAAGAGAAGGGAAGAGAAGGAGGUUCGGCUAGAGAUUUCAGUCCUUAGGUCUUUGAUAGAGGGUUCAGCUGCAAGAUGAGGAGAGCAGUCACCUACAAAAUUCUAGUUCUGAGCAUGAUGCUAUGGCUAUGGAUCAGUUGGCUUGUAUACAGGAUUUUGAUGAUCUCAGUCAUGGACUAGAUUGCGAGUGCGACGAGUGUGUCUAUGGUGGACAAUGUUUAUGAGAUUUGAUGUUUACAAUCAUUCUUUUGUGUGUACAUAUGGAUGGUUAUAGAAAUCAAUUUUGGUGGAUCAGAUUACAGGUGGGAGACUUGUUAUGUUUGGUGGGAGAUACAUUUUGUGUAAUUAAUAGGUGAGAGAGAGAUGUUAAUGAUAUGACAGGUGGGAGAUUCUUUUGUGUGUAUACUUGGAUAUUUGGAUUAUUGUAAUAUAAUGGAUUACUGUAUAUAACAUUGUGGAUAAUUGUGAAUCUAAUAUCAGGUAUCACAUA